AUAAGACGGCUUUGGCUUCAUGUUGCAGCGAUAUGAAAAUGGUGUCUGUCGAUCUUUUUGUAUGCAAAAAUGUGUAAUAAUUAUUUGAAAUCAUUUUGAGGAUUAUAAGAGUAUGGAAAUAUAUGUGAGAACACAGACUAUUA
rnacentral:lncRNA from 1 species